rnacentral:misc_RNA from 1 species
AAAAAUAGGGGUUGGUGGUAGUAAGGUGAAAAUUUAGGGUUCUAUGUAUUUUUCAACGUCAAAUAGAAACUCUUAAAAUAAAAAAUAUAUGAUUCAUCUAAAAAAAAAAAAAAAAAUAGGGUUGGACUACCCUUAACAUUUAAGGGGAUGAAAAAUAGAUGUUGUUCGAUUCUCAGACCUAUUCAAUAUGCACACAAAAUUUCAUGAGAAUCGCCGUUUCGGAGGAGUUUAACUACAAACACCGCGACACGAGAAUUUUAUAU